AACGAACGUUGGCGGCGUGGAUUAGGCAUGCAAGUCGAACGGGAUUUGGGGGCAACUCCAAGUCUAGUGGCGAACGGGUGAGUAACGCGUGGGAAACCUACCCUCGAGUGGGGGAUAACACUCCCAACGGGGUGCUAAUACCGCAUAAGACCACGAAGUCGCAUGGCUUCGCGGUCAAAGGUGGGGAUCGAAAGACCUAUCGCUUGAGGAUGGUCCCGCGUCUGAUUAGCUAGUUGGUGGGGUAAUGGCCUACCAAGGCUCCGAUCAGUAGCUGGUCUGAGAGGAUGGUCAGCCACACUGGGACUGAGAUACGGCCCAGACUCCUACGGGAGGCAGCAGUCGAGAGGCUUCGGCAAUGGGGGAAACCCUGACCGAGCGACGCCGCGUGGGCGAUGAAGGCCGUUAGGUUGUAAAGCCCUGUCGUGUGGGACGAAUUCAGGAGGGUGAACAAUCCUUCUGUUUGACGGUACCGCAAAAGGAAGCUCCGGCUAACUCCGUG
rnacentral:rRNA from 1 species